GAUGAACGCUGACAGAAUGCUUAACACAUGCAAGUCAACUUGAACUUCGGUUUGGGUGGCGGACGGGUGAGUAACGCGUAAAGAACUUGCCUCACAGCUAGGGACAACAUUUGGAAACGAAUGCUAAUACCUGAUAUUAUGAUUUUAGGGCAUCCUAGAAUUAUGAAAGCUAUAUGCGCUGUGAGAGAGCUUUGCGUCCCAUUAGCUAGUUGGAGAGGUAACGGCUCACCAAGGCGAUGAUGGGUAGCCGGCCUGAGAGGGUGAACGGCCACAAGGGGACUGAGACACGGCCCUUACUCCUACGGGAGGCAGCAGUGGGGAAUAUUGGACAAUGGACCAAGAGUCUGCUCCAGCAAUUCUGUGUGCACGAUGAAGUUUUUCGGAAUGUAAAGUGCUUUCAGUUGGGAAGAAAAAAAUGACGGUACCAACAGAAGAAGUGACGGCUAAAUACGUG
rnacentral:rRNA from 1 species